rnacentral:misc_RNA from 1 species
GAUGAAGAACGCAGCGAAAUGCGAUACUUGGUGUGAAUUGCAGAAUCCCGUGAACCAUCGAGUCUUUGAACGCAAGUUGCGCCCGAAGCCAUCAGGUUGAGGGCACGUCUGCCUGGGCGUCACAUAUCGUUGCCCAAUGCCUAUUGCAGUGCAAUAGGAAUUUCUAGGGCGAAUGAUGGCUUCCCGUGAGCGUUGUUGCCUCGCGGUUGGUUGAAAAUUGAGUCCUUGGUAGGGUGUGCCAUGAUAGAUGGUGGUCGAGUUUGCACGAGACCGAUCAUGUGUGCGCUCCCCAAAAUAUGGACUCUUUGACCCCACACGCGUCUUUUGACGCUCAUGACGAGACCUCAGGUCAGGCGGGGCUACCCGCUGAGUUUAAGCAUAUCAAUAAGCGGAGGA